CAUAUUAGAGCGUUUUACUUAUUUCUAGUAAAUCAUGUGAUACUCAUAUAAUUAUAUUUGGAGACAAUAAGGAUUUAUUUGUGUUUAGGGAACCUUGAUUACGCGAGAUGGCAUCUGAAGACACAAGAAAACCAUCCGAAGCAGAUCAAUCACAUAGUGCACAAUGCAUGCAUUCAGAAUCUCAUAAGCCGGCAGAUAAUAAUGCCGAUAAAAACAAAACAAACAAAUCUGGAAGCGAUUCUCAGGGGUCUUGCUACUGUGGCAAAGACAGGAAUCUUAACAUAGUGGAACUACUGUGUGCUUCAUGUAACAGAUGGUUUCAUGAGUCUUGUAUUGGGUAUCAGUUAGGAAAACUGGUGCCUUUUAUGACAAAUUAUUUGUUCAUUUGUAAGAACUGCUCUCCAACUGGUCUGGAGACUUUUAAGAAGAAUCAAGCUCCAUUUCCACAAAUGUGUCUGACAGCUAUUGCAAAUUUGAAGCAGGAGAGUGCAAAAAAUGCCAGCAACAAGGCCCUUUUCAGCAAGGAUAGAGAGAUUAUUCCAUACAUAGAUCAAUACUGGGAGGCAAUGACGACUAUGCCUCGAAGAGUGACCCAAUCUUGGUAUGCUACAGUGCAAAGAGCGCUGAUCAAGGAUAUCCAGGUCCUUUUCACAUACGAGGAGGACUCAACCCACGGGCCAAUGUUUGGGCUCUACAAUAUGGAGCUUACGUCCAUCAAGCCUAACUAUGAAGCCAUGAUUAAGCAGGGGCAGCUGAAAGUCACUGAUAUGGGGAUUGCUACAAUACCCCUGGCAGGAAACGUAAAGGGACGUCAAGGCAAGCGCCGGCCGGCCGUCGGCGGCGCGGCCGAGGCGGGCGCCCCGGCCGGCAAGAAGGGCCGCGCCGCCGACCCCGCCAGUCUCAAGUUACCGUCUCAUGGGUACCCUACCGAGCAUCCGUUUAACAAGGAUGGCUACCGGUAUAUACUGGCCGAGCCUGACCCUCACGCACCGUUCAGACAGGAGUUUGACGAGAGCAAUGAAUGGAGCGGCAAGCCAAUCCCAGGCUGGUUGUACCGCUCGCUCUGUCCCGGCAUCGUGCUGCUCGCGUUACACGACCGCGCGCCGCAGCUCAAGAUAUCCGAGGAUCGGCUCGCGGUCACCGGCGAGAAGGGAUACUGCAUGGUGCGCGCCACACACGGUGUAUCACGAGGCGCGUGGUAUUGGGAAGCCACAGUGGAAGAGAUGCCAGAAGGCGCAGCCGCCCGUCUGGGCUGGGGGCGGCGCUACGCGAACCUGCAGGCGCCGCUCGGGUACGACAAGUUCGGCUACUCGUGGCGCAGCCGCAAGGGCACCAGAUUCCACGAGUCGCGCGGCAAACACUACAGCAACGGUUACGGCGAGGGCGAUACGCUAGGCUUCCUUAUUGUGAUGCCUAAUAACCAGAAUACUAAGUACACGCCCAACACCUACAAGGAUCGGCCACUAGUAAAAUUCAAAAGCCACCUCUACUACGAAGACAAAGACAACAUCCAAGAAUCUCUAAACAGCCUGAAGCCGCUAAGCGGCUCCAAGAUCUACUUCUUUAAGAACGGCCAGUGCCAAGGGGCAGCCUUCUUGGACGUGUAUCAGGGCUGCUAUUAUCCUUCAGUCAGUCUACAUAAGAGUGCCACUGUCAGCGUCAACUUCGGGCCCAACUUCAAGCAUUCCCCGGGGAGUGAAUAUAGCUACAGACCAGUAAGUCAUUUUUCCUCCUCAUUUUAAGAUCUACUUCAAGAACGGCCAGUGCUAAGGGGCAGCCUUCUUGGACGUGUAUCAGGGCUGCUAUUAUCCUUCAGUCAGUCUACAUAAGAGUGCCACUGUCAGCGUCAACUUCGGGCCCAACUUCAAGCAUUCUCCGGGGAGUGAAUAUAGCUACAGACCGAUGUCGGAAAAGGCGGAGGAAGCGAUCUGCGAGCAGACCAUGGCCGACCUCCUGUACCUCACCGACAACGAAGGCAAGCUGCGGCUCGACAACUUCAACCUCUGAUACACGUAGCACCGUUAAUUCGGUGUGCAUGGACUGAGUGUGAGAUACGACACAACAGUGAACUAUAUACAUAUGUAUAUGUAUUAUAUUUAUACAAGUACCCUUCUCAACCUAUUUAACA